AAAGUCGUAACAAGGUUUCCGUAGGUGAACCUGCGGAAGGAUCAUUAUUGAAUCCUUAGGAUGUCGCUGGCCUUUUGUAAAAAAAAAGGCAUGUGCACUCCGCCUUUCAAUCCACCUGUGCACUUAUUGUAGGAGAAGGGGUAACCCUAAUCCUACGUAUUUUUACACACACACUACAAGUAUCAGAAUGUAUCUUAGUAGACCUUUGUGUCGAAAACUUAAAUACAACUUUCAACAACGGAUCUCUUGGUUCUC
rnacentral:misc_RNA from 1 species